rnacentral:rRNA from 1 species
UAUGGUUUAUUAGAUCGUGCGUUCUACGUGGAUAACUGUGGUAAUUCUAGAGCUAAUACAUGCAACUGGCCCUAACUUUACGGAGGGGCGCUUUUAUUAGAUCAAAAUCAAUCAGGUUUCGGCCUGUUUUUGUGAUGACUCUGGAUAACUUUGUGCCGACCGCAUGGCCUUGCGCCGGCGGCGUAUCUUUCAAAUGUCUGCCCUAUCAACUUUCGAUGGUAGGUGACAUGCCUACCAUGGUUGUAACGGGUAACGGAGAAUCAGGGUUCGAUUACGGGGAGGGAGCCUGAGAAACGGCUACCACA